rnacentral:rRNA from 1 species
GUACUGUGCGAACGUUAUUCGGAAUCACUGGGCUUAAAGGGUGCGUAGGCGGCCCGCUAAGUAGGGUGUGAAAUGCCAGAGCUCAACUUUUGCAUUGCGCUCUAGACUGACGGGCUUGAGUGAGAUAGGGGUGUGCGGAACUUCCAGUGGAGCGGUGAAAUGUGUUGAUAUUGGAAGGAACGCCGGUGGCGAAAGCGGCACACCGGGUCUUAACUGACGCUGAGGCACGAAAGCCAGGGUAGCGAACGGGAUUAGAUACCCCGGUAGUCCUGGCUGUAAACGAUGAGCACUAGACGGGAGAGGCUUUAUGCCUAUCCGGUCGUAGCAAAAGCGCUAAGUGCUCCGCCUGGGGAGUAUGGUCGCAAGGCUG